CACGUAGGCACCAAGCGUUGUCCGGAUUUAUUGGGCGUAAAGAGCUCGUAGGCGGUUCGGUAAGUCGGGUGUGAAAACUCUGGGCUCAACCCAAAGCCGCCACCCGAUACUGCUGUGACUCGAGUGCGGUAGGGGAGCGGGGAAUUCCUGGUGUAGCGGUGAAAUGCGCAGAUAUCAGGAGGAACACCAGUGGCGAAGGCGCCGCUCUGGGCCGUGACUGACGCUGAGGAGCGAAAGCGUGGGUAGCAAACAGG
rnacentral:rRNA from 1 species